rnacentral:lncRNA from 12 species
GCCACCGGGAUCUCUCCAAAACACAGGCAGGAUCAUCUCAGUCACUCUUUUUUUUUUUUUUCUCUCAGUCACUCUUGAAUCCCUUCCAUGCUCCCCACUGCACGGCUCAAGUCCAAAGCCCUUUGCUCCUCCAUGGCUGACAAGAGCUGUGCCAUGCUGGGAUGAGAUUAUCAGAGCUCUGCACUGUGGAUGUAUCUGUGGGAGGAGAGGGCAGCCACCUGGACAGACCCAACAAGCCUCCAACCACAACCGUGAAUCUUCAUGCCACCCCUGGCGCAGCUGAGCCCCUGGCCAAGGUCACACAGCGUGUAAGCAGGGAAAAAAUGAGAAUCAGAGCUCUUAAAGGGAAGGGAGAAGAGUGGAAAAGAACAUUUUCGAAUGCCAAAUUAGAGACCUUGGUCAUGCUUUGUGUCUCUGUAUUCUCAGGACCCAGCAUAAUACCUAGCAUAGUAUUGGCCCUCAAUAAAUGCUUAUUGCGUCACUGAACAGAAG